rnacentral:rRNA from 1 species
GAUGAACGCUAGCUACAGGCUUAACACAUGCAAGUCGAGGGGCAGCAUGGAGUUUUCUUCGGAAGACUUUGAUGGCGACCGGCGCACGGGUGAGUAACGCGUAUCGAACCUGCCUCAUACUCGGGAAUAGCCUUGCGAAAGUAAGAUUAAUGCCCGAUGUUCUUGGUGUUCCGCAUGAGGCGCCAAGCAAAGAUUCAUCGGUAUGAGAUGGCGAUGCGUCCCAUUAGCUUGUUGGCGGGGUAACGGCCCACCAAGGCAUCGAUGGGUAGGGGUUCUGAGAGGAAGGUCCACCACAGUAGAACUGAGACACGGUCCAAACGCCUACGGGAGGCAGCAGUGAGGAAUAUUGGUCAAUGGACGGAAGUCUGAACCAGCCAAGUAGCGUGCAGGAAGACGGCCCUCCGGGUUGUAAACUGCUUGUAGUUAGGAAUAAAACGCGGGACGUGUCCCGCCUUGUAUGUACCAUCAGAAAAAGGACCGGCUAAUUCCGUGCCAGCCGCCGCGGUAA